CGCACAACACAUAAUACACCCUCUCUCUCUUUCUCUCUCUCCUGGUCGUCUCUCUUUUCCUCUCAUUUCAAACCCUAAUCUAACCCCAUUUAACCGGAUUCGCCAUGAAAGGAGGUAAAUCCAAGUCAGAAGCCAAGAGCUCAAGGCUUGCUGUGAGCAAGAAGCCUACAAAAGCAGCUGGAAAGAAAGCGGGAAAGGCAGCUAAAGAUCCAAACAAGCCCAAGAGGCCGGCCAGUGCCUUCUUCGUUUUCAUGUGAGCUUACG